rnacentral:misc_RNA from 1 species
GAUGAAGAACGUAGCGAAAUGCGAUAAGUAAUGUGAAUUGCAGAAUUCAGUGAAUCAUCGAAUCUUUGAACGCACAUUGCGCCCGCCAGUAUUCUGGCGGGCAUGCCUGUUCGAGCGUCAUUUCAACCAUCAAGCCCCGGCUUGUGUUGGGGACCUGCGGCUGCCGCAGGCCCUGAAAACCAGUGGCGGGCUCGCUAGUCACUCCGAGCGUAGUAAUACAUCUCGCUCAGGGCGUGCUGCGGGUUCCGGCCGUUAAAAAGCCUUAUUUACCCAAGGUUGACCUCGGAUCAGGUAGGAAGACCCGCUGAACUUAAGCAUAUCAAUAAGCGGAGGA